GCUCCCUCCCUGCCCAAGUGGGGCGGGGGCCCCGCGCCCCGGCCGGACCCGGGCGGGCUCUGGCGGCCGCUCUGGGAGACGCAGACCCGAGCCUGCGGAACCCGGGCGCGCGAAGUCCAGCGGCAGCAGCCGGGUGAGGGCGCUGGAGCCCAGGACUCGGAUGGAGCAGCCGCAGUGGGCCGCCCAGAGCCUGUUCUCCGGACUCAGAGGGCUUAGAGUGGCGGGUGCGCAGGGUUAAAACCCCACUCGCGUCCAGGGGUAGGAGAGGCUAUGGAGGAGGAAGUCCCGCGUCUGGAGCAGAAUCGCGGGGGAGAUAAGGUUCAGGGUUAUUAAGCCUGAGAAUCUUUUUUUAACUUGGGGUGUAAUAGGGAAGAACAAAUCUGACCCAAUAUUAGAUCUGUUUCUUUUACUUUAACCUGUGUAUUCUAUUGCUUUUGCUUCGAGUUAACAUUGUUGCCUGUAGCCUGAAAUAUACAGGAUAGCCCGUGAUAAACCUCUGACCUUUAAGAGUAUGACACUUUUUCAUGCAUAAAGAGAUACAAAGUUGCAGAACAGAGAAUAACAGUCGUCUUGUUGGAGAUUUACAGGAACAUCGUGACCUGACCUAGGUGGACAGCUGCAGGAGCAAAGGAUUCCUACACCAAGAAGUUUGCAAUAACCAACCACGCCCCUCCCUCACCUUGCCUUUAAAAAUGCUUUGCUGAAACCCUUUGGGGAGUUCUGGGUUUGGGGGGGCACAAGCCACCUGUCUCCUUACAUAGCCCUGCAAUAAACAUUUCUCUGCUCCAAAUUCCCACAUUUCGGUUGGUUUGGCCUCACUGUGCGUGGGGUACACGAGCUUGCAUUUGGUAAGGAGACAGUGGCUGUAGAAAGAGAUCCUGGUCUAGGACCUAGCAUUCCCUCCGAGAGGAAAAGGCGUGGGGCCUUGGGUUGAAACCAGAGUCAGACACGCCAGGUAUGUGACUGCCCACGUGGGUCUUAACCUCCCUGGACAUCAGUUUCCUCAUCAGGAAAAUGCGUUCUCUGAUGCUUCCUCACUGACUGGUAGGAUUUAAGUGAGGUCACAAUAGUACAGGUACCUAGCACACGGCAGGUCUUCAGUAAGUUAGAAUCCUUCCCGUACGUGGGAGAGGGCUCUGUACCUCUCUAACUGGACAGACUGAGGUCCUCAAGGGUCAGGGCAAGAAGGCAUGACUGCUCUACAUAUUCCCCUGCCCGGGGAAGCAGUACUAGGGGAACGAGCACAUAGCAGGUCCCUGGGGCACGUGGAGUCUCCUCUCAACUCCGCCACUGACUCACUCUGUGACUUGGAGUCCUCUACUCUCCUUCUCUGUUUCUUGUAUUCCCUCCCAUUUUUUUCGAGCUUACAACUCAGUCCCUCACCUGUUUAGAUGGAGCCCUCCUAGGAGAUAUAUUCCUUUCUCCCUUCCAGCCAGUGCCAUGUGAGAACUAACCCGGCAGGGACAGUCGUCAUUCUAGGCAGCACACGCCGCUUCGUGAAUCCAUGUCUGGGCGUUGGGGCCAUAGUCAGACAGAAGCUGCUGGACUCUGUGUCCAUGUUUUCUGCAUUGGGACAGAAGCCUUGCUUACCUGGCUAAGCUAGGGAAGCAAUGCAUUCUCUCUCCGGGCCUUUCUCAGGAAGCUGACCUUGACUGUCACUAGGUCUGUUAUCGGGAUUCUGUUUCUUGACUUCUUGGGAGGUAAUGAGCUGGGUCCUAUGGUAGGUUUCCCUCCCCAGCCUUUCCUUUCCAGCAAAUUUAGAAGGAACCCACCCAAGUGCCCCACGCUGUACCCUAAUUCCUGAUUUCUUUCUUAAGAGAACCCCCCAGAUUCCAGGACCCACAAGCAUGUGGAGGAUGCUGAGCUUUCGGUACAGGUGGAGAAGGGUCAGCCUUGAAUUAGCCUUGCUUAGAGCAAUGAGAGGAAUAGGUGGGAUUCUCCUCUCUCCCAUCAGGAGAGAGUAGAUUUGGGGCCUGCAGGGAAUGAGGUCUCUGGAGAGAAGCCUGCACCACAGGCGUCUGAGAGAUGAAAUAGUAAAGAAGGAUUCUUGUCUGCUGACGGGCUCUGAGAAGUGCUUAGUCAUGUUUUCUCAAAGCACAGAAAUGCCCAGCACGUUCCUUGGUGUCCAGCUUUCUUUAUCACAGACCAGUGCCCCGGGGAAAAUGAGCGAUGCUGAUGAAUUACAAACAGGCUCUGCUUGUCUAAAAACAGAUUCUUCAGGCAGAGCUCCAUUCAGCACUUCCACUCAGCACUCGGUGAUGGACGGGGGGUCGCCCUUGGACACCAAGCCUGAAGCUGGCAUCCGAAAAGGGAAAUUCCCAGCCAUGGGCCCUGGGGCCAGAUUUCCAAGACUCAUAACUGCUCAGUUCCUGUUUUGUUGGAUGCCGAUGAGGUUGCCCAGCUGAGGAGAGACAAGUCCUCAGUUUUUCUGGUGUCAGCGGCUGUCAUCUCGGACUAAAUCCAAUUUUCUGCAUGGGGUGCCGAAGGAAGAGGCCUCUACUCUAUAUCUGAAGCAAAAAGCUGGAUUCAUCGUUUGCAAGGCAGUGAACACGGCAGGCUGCGGAUCUCCUGUGGAGUAUUUGGGAAGUGUGGGGCUGGGGAUUAGACGACUCUUCACAGCGGGAGUAUUCAGGCAUUAAGUGACCUUUAGCGAAGGCAGCUUGGCCACCGGAGCAAGGCUGUUGCUGAUUGGCCCUCAGAAGCGUGUGUACUGACCAGAGGAAGCUGUCCUCGGGACUCCUGGUUACUUGUUCCAGUGGCCAAAGAACAGUGAGUCUUUUCUUGAACGGGAGGAUAGGAACUGUUCUCGGUAGGAUCCCUUUUUUAUUUAAAUGUCAAAUAAUCCAGCUCAGAGAUUUUCAAACUUUACCAUGAAUCAAAUCCGAUCACCCAGAGGGCUUGUUAGAGCAGACUGUUGGGCCCCUCUCCUGCAGAGUGUCUGAUUAGGUAGGUCUGGGAUGGGAGCCAAGAAUCUGCACUUCUAAUGAGUUCCCAGGUGAUGCUGAUGCUCUGGUCCAGGGACCACACUUUGAGAACCACUGGUCCAGUAUCAUCGGAGUUGUAGUUAAUUAUUUGCUGUUAAGAAAAUAUUUAGGGGCUUCCCUGGUGGCGCAGUGGUUGAGAAUCUGCCUGCCAAUGCAGGGGACACGAGU